AUAGAAGGCUCCCGCCGCCUUAAGCGAACGGUCCAAACAACAAUAUGGGAACGUAGCCACGGAACCAGUCGCGCCCUCAACGCCGGCUUGACUCUGUACCGGAACUACAGCCUAGCCUGUUCAUGCACGUACUGGUGGGAGGCGCUGGAGUUCCCGGGACUAGCUCGAGGUACCUAGUGGCUCGCCACAAUACGCGUCGGUGGCUUCUGGCGAGCAGCACCGUCUCUAAGCCGUAUAGGAACACUGGAAUCGCACUGGGAAUAACACUGUCCCUGCUAUCGAGACGAGAUUCCGGAGACGCUGGCAUAUUUAGGCUUACAGUGCCCGCGCUGGAAACAGGAGCGAACCGAGCUCCUUGAAGGACAGCAGCAGCUGGGCUUCACCGUGAUAGACGAAGGCCGGACACUCACUCUGAGUGUAGCACUGGCAACUGAUGGUCCAUUAACCGAGCCUCAGCGCUCAUCAGUGGCGAACAAACUCACAUGCUACCUUCCAAGCGGAAGGUCCAGCGAAUCGGAUGCGCACACGGGCCCAGUGCUCUCUGCGCCUACCCACUGUGGUGGGUGUCAAGCACAAACCCGCAUUGCCAACCAAGAACGCAUUCCAUGCAUGAUCACGAAGGAGACAGACGACUCCCAGAAUUCAUCCUAACAGCCAAGUUCCUCCAGCGUUUCGUGCAGCGAAGGCAAGCCUGCAUCCGCAGACUGACUGAGCACAAACUGACGAUGAGACCCGAUUCUACGUCGGGUGAAGCACGCCUCGAGCCGACGCCCGCUGUGGUACGGUAACGCCGUUCUGUCACUGUGGUGAACCCGUUCCAGCGGUUCAGGAGCCUUUGCGGACUAGCAGGGCGCGCAUUAGGUGAGUGAUAGAACUUAUAAAACCACCAGAAUAUCCGAGAAGAAGUAUAGGUGAUGUAACUUGGAGGUAGGAUGUUUGAUGGAUACUUCACCGCACAUUGAAAAAAAGUAAGAAAAGAAAGAGCGCACAAUCGGAGAACGCUGGCCUAUGCAAACGUUUUGCCGAUUGAAAAUAUGCAAACGCUGCUGCAUAUUGCUCAGAAGGUGUGCACCCAUCUGGACGGCAAUGGGACAACCUGCCACCACAAACCCGUGUACAGAGAUUUAUCGUUGGAAGCUGCAUUUGAUGGUGAGCGUCGCAUCCUUUUAACGGGAAUUUGCAGUGCGAUCUCGACAUGCACUCGAGACUCUGAGCUCGCGUCGCUUUCAUGGACACAUACACGCCACGGGAGCCGUUCAGCACGGUGUUGAUGAUGCGGAGCAAAUACGGAGCAUCCGAAUGGCUCGAAUACCAACAAGUGAAGCAACAGAGGUAUACUUCACAACAAGCCCCUUCCAGAUCUGGUUCAAGUGAUGCUGCGGAUAGCGCUGCCGCAUCCGUACGCACGUCGACCUCCAGUCCUGCGUCCGCGUUCUCGAUGAAGCCCGUUGAUUUACUGAACGAGUCCGAAUGCGUCCUUGGAAACACAGAGAAUACCUUUCAGCCUGCUUUUUUGACGGCCAAUGCCGAUUCUGGCGUGUGCACGCAGUCCAGAAAUACACUUGCACGCUUCAUAGUCUCUGUUACAUGCUGCAUGUCUCAUGGAACGAUUCUAACCUAUGGCCGAACAAAGCUGCUGCCUUGAACGUACUUGGCUUCGUAGACACUACAGCGUGUUUCGUUUCCUUGCCAGACCGCAAAUCGAGCGUAUCCGUGCCGCCUUGUCCAUGAACGGAACCAGUUUUACCGAUCGCUGGCGCCGACUCACCAAGAGAAGUGGUGUCCGCAAAGUCAUCUGUCGCUCGAUCCCUGCGCUUUGCGAAUACGUAUUCUGGCAGUUGUGGGCAAUCCACUGGCAGGAUCCAGAGCAGCGCUGAGUACUAUUCCACGCGGCGAUCUCGCUCGACACGAGCAGGACAGGCUUGCUCUCUCGACUGUACUAAAUUGGAUCGAAUCGCGUCGUUACGAACGUUGUUCGAGGCAGCCUCGGAGCAUAUGCUGGUGUAAGCGUCUGCAUUCUCCGAUACCCUCGAGUUCUAUGCAAAAUCUCCUUACAAAACACGCAUCCAGUGCAUUCAAAAGCCCACCUUCUUGCCGACGUUGUUUCCAUCUAGAAACUCUUCCAGAAGAGAGCGCAACGCCGAACUCGUGCCGGGAUAGAGGAUUGCCGCCCCAAAGCCAGCAGCCAGAGCACCGUCAAUGUUCCGCUUUUGGUCAUCGAUCAGAACGCAUUGUGAAGCUGACGCGCCAGCCCGCGUUGCCGCCUCGGCAUAGGCCCGAGGAUCAGGUUUCCGGAGGCCGGUUUCACAGCUGACCGCCGUCCACGAUAAGUACCUCGAUAGACCCAACUUCUCUUCAAUGAAUCGAUAGUAGCAGGGGUAGUUCGAGAGAAUAUGCAGCGUGCCAGGAGGCUGUCGCGAUGCAAGCCACUCGAGCAGCGGUUCUAUGCCUUCAUCCAUGAAUCUGUAAGACUCGCGAAGAUACGCUUCAAAGCGACGGGCAUUGAACCUUGCAUGCUUUGCCAAGUGCAAUGGGAGCGUGUGCAGCGGUCUGAAGAAGAGGUGCUCCAGAUCGGUAACCGAGAGUUCACCUCGCUCGAAGCGAAUCCAGGUCUCCGGGUGCUUUGCGGCGAGAAAGUCCUCGCGUUUGUCAAAUCCAAAGUGAAGGUGCAUGUCCUUGAAAAAAGGGUCACAAACAAGAGUAUCCAUCACAUCAAAGAAGAAUACAAUGGGUUGGUCUCGCGAUGUCGCAGCGGUCGUCGCGGAACUAGCAACACGUUGCAAUCCGGGGGACGUUUCCGCAGAGUGCCGGUGCUCGUACGGUGACGAACACAUCACUGUCGCUGCUGUGACUGCUCGUGCUGCUGACUUUCGUGAAAGUUGCGAUGGAAUCGUGCUCGACACCCUAACGGGCAGUACUGUUGCAGCUGUACGAAAGUGCCCUUCUGUAGCGGCAGCCGCAGUGGCGGUUGCUCCGUCGAGAGCUACCAAGUGCUGCCUGCCGCGACACUGUGCUGCUUGGGCCUGGUGCGUGUCGGACUCACCAGCAGCGCUAGCCCAGCGCUGGCGACCUAGUCUUGACAUGGGACGAUGAGGCGCUGGCGCAAAUGCUUCGCCACCGGUGAACAUGCCUCCACAGUGUCGUCGACAGGGCCACUUGCCAGUACUACCAGGUCCUCGUUCACCGCCAAGUUGACCUAUUUCCAAAACGUUUUUGCCUCAGGCAGAAACUCGUCUGCAUCACCACGGGACGUCCACAACUGCUUGACGUAAAAGAGU